AUGGUGACUCCUCUACUUGCCUGCACAUCCUUGGGAAAAGGAGUGAAGUAACCAGGUGGCAGCCACAGCUUUUAAUUCAGUGUGACUCAAGAGGGGGCCCUCGUGUAUGCUCUCUUUCAGAUCCAGGACCUCCAACUCAAUAGUCUGGAACUGCAGGAAGGAGAAGCACAGAUUUCCCCAGGAGUCACUAGAGGUCAUGGGUAUCACCUAUGAGCUGAUGUCUCAACUGUGUCUUCAGCAAGCAAGCUGUUCCAGAAAUGCAUCAGGCCAGCAACUUCCUGAUUAGAUGAUAUGGAGAUGAACACCAGGACUAUUUUAGAAACUGUAUGUUGAAGACCACUGAGAUAUAAAACUUAGAAACAAAAAUUGGUCCUGAGUCAGUGCCUUGAAGACAGUUGCACAGAGAACAGUUCAAUAUUGAGAACAUCCUUGAGGAUCACAGAGUCCAGAGUCCCCAGAGAGAGACAGGAAUCAUGUCUUGUAGAUGGCGAGUUACCUACACAUCUGUCUAGAGAAGAACAAUCCAAUAACGAGAACAUCCUUGAGGAUCACAGAGUCCAGAGUCCCAGAGGGAGACAGAGCAAUCAUGGCUUGUAGAUGGAGCAGCCUUAUUUCACAUAGAGAUUUUCCCAUCAACCCUGUCCUGUUUUGAAGACUAUAUGAAACAGAGGUGAGGCUGAACUAUGAUAUGUAAGUAGCAUGACUGAAAAAUAAAUCUUAUUUAUUCUGAAAUUGUUGGUACAAUAUAAUUUAGCCUGACAGAUAGAUCACACUGCCUAAUAAACUAUUUAGUUGCAGACCAUGAUUUUUGUUUGUUUUUUGUUUUUUGUUUUUGUUUUUUGAGAUG